rnacentral:rRNA from 1 species
CCUACGGGAGGCAGCAGUGGGGGAUAUUGCACAAUGGGGGAAACCCUGAUGCAGCGACGCCGCGUGGGUGAAGAAGUAUUUCGGUAUGUAAAGCCCUAUCAGCAGGGAAGAAAGAAGACGGUACCUGACUAAGAAGCCCCGGCUAACUACGUGCCAGCAGCCGCGGUAAUACGUAGGGGGCGAGCGUUAUACGGAUACACUGGGUGUAAAGGGAGCGUAGACGGCCGUGCAAGCCAGGAGUGAAAGCCCGGGGCACAACCCCGGGACUGCUCUUGGAACUGGGCGGCUGGAGUGCGGGAGGGGCAGGCGGAAUUCCUGGUGUAGCGGUGAAAUGCGUAGAGAUCAGGAGGAACACCGGCGGCGAAGGCGGCCUGCUGGACCGCGACUGACGUUGAGGCUCGAAAGCGUGGGGAGCGAACAGGAUUAGAUACCCGUGUAGUU